rnacentral:rRNA from 1 species
AACGAACGCUGGCGGCAGGCUUAACACAUGCAAGUCGAACGCCCCGCAAGGGGAGUGGCAGACGGGUGAGUAACGCGUGGGAAUCUACCCAGAACUACGGAACAACUGAGGGAAACUUCAGCUAAUGCCGUAUACGCCCUACGGGGGAAAGAUUUAUCGGUUUUGGAUGAGCCCGCGUUAGAUUAGCUAGUUGGUGAGGUAAUGGCUCACCAAGGCGACGAUCUAUAGCUGGUCUGAGAGGAUGAUCAGCCACACUGGGACUGAGACACGGCCCAGACUCCUACGGGAGGCAGCAGUGGGGAAUAUUGGACAAUGGGCGCAAGCCUGAUCCAGCCAUGCCGCGUGAGUGAUGAAGGCCUUAGGGUUGUAAAGCUCUUUCAGUGGGGACGAUAAUGACGGUACCCACAGAAGAAGCCCCGGCUAACUUCGUGCCAGCCGCCGCAGUAACAC